CCUACGGGAGGCUGCAGUGAGGAAUAUUGGUCAAUGGUCGGGAGACUGAACCAGCCAAGCCGCGUGAGGGAGGAAGGUACAGAGUAUCGUAAACCUCUUUUGUCAGGGAACAAAGGCGGGGACGUGUCCCCGGAUGAGUGUACCUGAAGAAAAAGCAUCGGCUAACUCCGUGCCAGCAGCCGCGGUAAUACGGAGGAUGCGAGCGUUAUCCGGAUUUAUUGGGUUUAAAGGGUGCGCAGGCGGUCUGUUAAGUCAGCGGUAAAAGCCCGGGGCGCAACCCCGGCCCGCCGUUGAAACUGGCAGUCUCGAGUUGGAGAGAAGUAUGCGGAAGGCGCGGUGUAGCGGUGAAAUGCAUAGAUAUCGCGCAGAACUGCGAUUGCGAAGGCAGCAUGCCGGCUCCACACUGACGCUGAGGCACGAAAGCGUGGGUAUCGAACAGGAUUAGAUACCCCUGUAGUC
rnacentral:rRNA from 1 species